rnacentral:rRNA from 1 species
UACGUAGGGGGCAAGCGUUGUCCGGAGUUACUGGGCGUAAAGCGCGCGCAGGCGGCGCAGUUGGCUCGGCGUGAAAGCCCCCGGCUCAACCGGGGAGGGUCGUCGAGGACCGCUGUGCUUGAGGGCGGUAGGGGCUGGUGGAAUGCCUGGUGUAGUGGUGAAAUGCGUAGAGAUCAGGCAGAACACCCGUGGCGAAGGCGGCCAGCUGGGCAGUAGCUGACGCUGAGGCGCGACAGCGUGGGGAGCAAACAGG